rnacentral:lncRNA from 1 species
UGAACAACCUCACAUCUAUGAUGGUGAUGCUCAUUUACAACCAUCACAUGUUAAGACAAGGGUACACACAAACACAUACAUACAUAGUCAUACUUACACACACACACAUAUGACAGGCUUUUCCUGCUUUUGUCUACCAAAUACACUUGCAAGGCUUUGGUCAGCUUGGGACCAAAGUAGAAAAACAUUUGCCUAAGGUGAAAUAUAGUGGGACUGAACCUGAGAUCACAUGACUAGGAAGCAUGCUUUUUAACCACAUAACCACACC